rnacentral:rRNA from 1 species
UGCAAGUCGAACGAGAAGAGAUGAGAAGCUUGCUUCUUAUUGAUUCGAGUGGCAACGGGUGAGUAACGCGUAAGCAACCCUGCCGCAAAGAUGGGACAACAGUCCGAAAGGACUGCUAAUACCGAAUGUUGUAUCUCCUCCGCAUGGAAGAGAUAUUAAAGAUGGCCUCUACUUGUAAGCUAUCGCUUUGCGAUGGGUCUGCGUCUGAUUAGGUAGUUGGUGAGGUAACGGCCCACCAAGCCGACGAUCAGUAGCCGGUCUGAGAGGAUGGACGGCCACACUGGAACUGAGACACGGUCCAGACUCCUACGGGAGGCAGCAGUGGGGAAUCUUCCGCAAUGGGCGAAAGCCUGACGGAGCAACGCCGCGUGAACGAUGACGGCCUUCGGGUUGUAAAGUUCUGUUAUACGGGACGAAUGGCGUAGCGGUCAAUACCCGUUACGAGUGACGGUACCGUAAGAGAAAGCCACGGCUAACUACGUG